AAAACUCGCUUUGACGAAUCAUGGGGCGAGUUUCAAUUGGGCACACUUUCUUGCGUUCGGAAAAUUUAAAUUGUGCCCAAGGUGAGUUUAGCGAUCGUUCGUACAGAACGGAGACAAAAAAUUCAGAUUCAGA